UUCUUGGAGAGUUUGAUCCUGGCUCAGGACGAACGCUGGCGGCGUGCCUAAUACAUGCAAGUCGAGCGAAUCAAUAGGAGCUUGCUCCUGUUGGUUAGCGGCGGACGGGUGAGUAACACGUGGGCAACCUGCCUGUAAGACUGGGAUAACUUCGGGAAACCGGAGCUAAUACCGGAUAAUCCUUUUC
rnacentral:rRNA from 1 species